CUGAGUUCCUGGAAGCACCAGAAACAUCUGCUGGUAAACGGGGUAUUUAUUUUGCGUAUGUUUUACAGUCACUUCUCUAUAUACCCCGGUUUUACCUCUCCCUCCCACCUCCCAACGUCAGAAGCGCCUUGAGGGCAGGAACCGCCUAGGUUUAGGCUCCGUACCCCCUGCGCUAGCCCACGCUGUAGGUGCUGAACAGAGGCCAGGUUAAGGCUGGGUGAAUUGGACUGGCUUGUGCGCCUGCGCGCCAGCCCCAAGACUACAAUUCCUAGCACCGAGGAACUCUCGGGGUCCGAUGGACCCUAGGAAGGUCCACGCUGACUCUGAGCAGGCGCAGUUGGGGAGAUGUCUAUUUCAACCCUUUUCCUCGGGAUUUAGGUGGAGGUGGAGCGACGCUGUCCGCCACGUGGGGCUGCCAUCUUGAGACUCUACCCUUUACCAAAAAGGGAGAAUUGAAGAGGAAGUGACUUCUGGACUCCUAAGAGCCUUAUCUCAGAAAUUGCUGACAUUCCAAGAUGUUGCUGUGGAAUUCACCCAGGAAGAAUGGAAUUAUUUGGAUCCUGGCCAGAAGGACAUGUACAGGGAUGUGAUGCUGGAGAACUAUGAAAACUUUGUCUCUCUUGGUAAAUGAAGUAGGAGAUGGAAUGGGCUAGGCCACAAAGGUUUGAAGAACUACCAGAGGUCCAGUGACAGAGCCCAGGAAGAAGCCAGCCAUGAGAAGCAACCUGCUUGACUAUGUCCAGCACCGAAUCUGUCUAGAAGCUGAGAUGCUUUGCCCUGAAAGCAAGGGAGCUGGUCCCCGAUGGCUACAGUGCAUAGAGAUAUAGAACAUAGUGGUGGAACUUAUAGAACAUAUACAACUUAGUGGGGAAAUAUUUUUUAAUCACCACUUUAAAUUUGUGUCUGCUCUGUACAGGGACUGAGAGAAUAUGCAAAAGGGAGAGAGCAUCCCUCACCAUGUUUUGGUGCUUGAUAUAUCUUUCCAGUAAAUAUCCCUUUGUAAGAACUAAUGGAUGUUAAUUGGUCCUCAAUGUACUGGUCAGAUGAUAUUGCGGCAAAGAUCAUUGGUAAUUUAUAUUAGGGAGAAAUCCCUAGAAUGGGAAAUCAAGCCAAUAAUAUUAGAAGAAUUGUGCUGAAUCCCUCAAGAUAGCCCUAGAACUCUGAGGAGACAAAGCUGCCCUCUAAAAAUCCAAGUUGCCAAAUGAGAGUGCUACUUGGGAUAAGAUAAAUGGACAUUCAUUUAGUUAGGAGCAGGAAAGAAUAAAACAAAAGACAGAAAAACAGCAGCACCAUGCCUAUAUGGCUUUC